rnacentral:rRNA from 1 species
GACGAACGCUGGCGGCGUGCUUAACACAUGCAAGUCGAACGGAAAGGCCCUGCUUUUGUGGGGUGCUCGAGUGGCGAACGGGUGAGUAACACGUGAGUAACCUGCCCUUGACUUUGGGAUAACUUCAGGAAACUGGGGCUAAUACCGGAUAGGAGCUCCUGCUGCAUGGUGGGGGUUGGAAAGUUUCGGCGGUUGGGGAUGGACUCGCGGCUUAUCAGCUUGUUGGUGGGGUAGUGGCUUACCAAGGCUUUGACGGGUAGCCGGCCUGAGAGGGUGACCGGCCACAUUGGGACUGAGAUACGGCCCAGACUCCUACGGGAGGCAGCAGUGGGGAAUAUUGCACAAUGGGCGGAAGCCUGAUGCAGCAACGCCGCGUGCGGGAUGACGGCCUUCGGGUUGAAAACCGAUUUCGCCUGUGACGAAGCGUGAGUGACGGUAAUGGGUAAAGAAGCACCGGCUAACUACGUG